rnacentral:rRNA from 1 species
AUUCCAGCUCCAAUAGCGUAUAUUAAAGUUGUUGCAGUUAAAAAGCUCGUAGUUGGAUUUCUGGUGGGAGCGUUGGGUCGGCCCUAAGGGCUCGUACUCAAAUGUUUUCCGCCAUCCUUGGAGGGAUGUUGUCUGGCAUUAAGUUGUCGGGCUUCCGAUCUCCAUCGUUCACUGUGAAAAAAUUAGAGUGUUCAAAGCAGGCUUACGCCGUUGAAUACAUUAGCAUGGAAUAAUAAGAUAGGACCCUGGUACUAUUUUGUUGGUUUGCGUACCUAGGUAAUGAUUAAUAGGGACAGUUGGGGGUAUUCGUAUUCCGUUGUCAGAGGUGAAAUCCUUGGAUUUACGGAAGACGAACUACUGCGAAAGCAUUUACCAAGGAUGUUUUCAUUA